GUUCUUGUAGUUGAGUUACAACGAUGGUUCUUCAAAUCGUUAGUCUUGGUUAAAAUCCAAGCAAGAAUU
rnacentral:tRNA from 2 species